rnacentral:lncRNA from 1 species
GUUAUAUUCAGGAGCCCUCUGCACAGGAAAUAUCCCUUGGGCAAGAGUAAGUGAUAUCUUUUCUGGCUAAAAUUCCAUUUACUUCGAAGUGGGAUAAAUUGAAGCCUCCUCAUAAUGCAGUCCACAGGAACCAUGCUGCAUGCAGAAUUGAAGGAUUUUUUAGAAGGUAGAUAACUGUAUUGCUGAGAAGAGCUAAGUCUAUCAUAGUUGAUCAUUGCACCAUGCUGCUGUUACUGUGGACAAUGUUCUCCUUCAC